rfam:Clostridium sp. CAG:127 genomic scaffold, scf129
GUAAGGAGCCUCCUACAGGCGAAGCCUGUAUUAGGAUGAAGGCGACGACCUGCCGCAUCACGAAGUGAUGGGGUGAAAACCAUG